rnacentral:misc_RNA from 1 species
GCCAGCUCCAAUCGAGGUAAGGUAGCCCCUCAGAAACCCUAGAUUGCUGUAAUCGGGGUAGCACGGAGGCUGCAACGGCGUCGUGUUGGGAAUUCCGGACCGCACGCCAUAGCCGCCCAGCAGAGUGCCGGAUUGGAGCUUGGAGCGAGUGGAUCGGUGGAGGGAGCGGCCGAGUCUGGAAAAGAUCAUGGCUUUCCGAGAUCUAGGGCAUGGAAUGGGAGGUGAGAUGAGCUGGCGAGCACUGGAGGGCGGCGGCAAUGGUGGCGGCGGGCGCGUCGGCGGCGGGGCGGCGGCGGCCGGUGGUGGCGAUGAAGAUG